rnacentral:rRNA from 1 species
GUCCACGCCCUAAACUAUGAACACUAGGUGUUGAAGGUCUCGACCCCUUCAGUGCCGACGCUAACGCAUUAAGUGUUCCGCCUGGGUAGUACGGUCGCAAGACUAAAACUCAAAGGAAUAGACGGGGACCCACACAAGCGGUGGAGCAUCUGGUUUAAUUCGAUAGUAAGCGAGGAACCUUACCAAGGCUUGACAUCCCGGGAAGGCUGCCGAAAGGUGGCUGUGCCGUAAAGGAACCCGGUGACAGGUGCUGCAUGGUUGUCGU